UCCGAGUUUGCUUUUAGUACGGGGGGACGUGUUUUGGAUUUGUUCCGUAGUUCACUAUCUCCUAAUAUAGUUAAAGCCCUUAUUUGUACCCAGAAUUGGUUAAAGGAUGCAAAGAAUAAAAGACCAAUAAAGAUUAGAGAGAGCAUGGAUAAUGUGGAGGAUAUGGAUGGUUUUGAGAUUGACACUGAAAUUGCAUCGAUUUGCCCAAUGCCUAUGGAGGAGGAUCCAAGCACCGUUAUGUUGGAUGAUGAUAAGUGAUAUGCUGCUCUUUGCUUGGAGUUCGUUAGUAGUUAGUAUUAUGUAAGUAUACUUGCUAUUAUCAUUCGUUUGUGCUAAACUGCUAAUUAUAAAUAUUUUAUUGUUUAUAAAUGUUUUAUGGUUAUUAAAACGUGUUUAUUUUGUUU